rnacentral:rRNA from 1 species
AACAGGAUUAGAUACCCUGGUAGUCCACGCCCUAAACGAUGUCUACUAGUUGUUGGGUCUUAAUUGACUUAGUAACGCAGCUAACGCGUGAAGUAGACCGCCUGGGGAGUACGGUCGCAAGAUUAAAACUCAAAGGAAUUGACGGGGACCCGCACAAGCGGUGGAUGAUGUGGAUUAAUUCGAUGCAACGCGAAAAACCUUACCUACCCUUGACAUGUCAGGAAUCCUCGAGAGAUCGGGGAGUGCCCGAAAGGGAACCUGAACACAGGUGCUGCAUGGCUGUCGUCAGCUCGUGUCGUGAGAUGUUGGGUUAAGUCCCGCAACGAGCGCAACCCUUGUCAUUAGUUGCUACGAAAGAGCACUCUAAUGAGACUGCCGGUGACAAACCGGAGGAAGGUGGGGAUGACGUCAAGUCCUCAUGGCCCUUAUGGGUAGGGCUUCACACGUCAUACAAUGGUACAUACAGAGGGCCGCCAACCCGCGAGGGGGAGCUAAUCCCAGAAAGUGUAUCGUAGUCCGGAUUGUAGUCUGCAACUCGACUGCAUGAAGUUGGAAUCGCUAGUAAUCGCGGAUCAGCAUGUCGCGGUGAAUACGUUCCCGGGUCUUGUACACACCGCCCGUCACACCAUGGGAGCGGGUUUUACCAGAAGUAGGUAGCUUAACCGCAAGGAGGGCGCUUACCACGGUAGGAUUCGUGACUGGGGUGAAGUCGUAACAAGGUAACC